AUACGUUCCCGGGCCUUGUACACACCGCCCGUCACACCAUGGGAGUUUGUUGCACCAGAAGUAGCUAGCCUAACUGCAAAGAGGGCGGUUACCACGGUGUGGCCGAUGACUGGGGUGAAGUCGUAACAAGGUAGCCGUAGGGGAACCUGCGGCUGGAUCACCUCCUUAA
rnacentral:rRNA from 1 species